UCCAGCUGGAAAUCGAGUCUUUUAGACUCGAUUUCCACGUGUAUUCCAGACUGAAAUCGAGUCUUAGAGACUCGGUUUCCAAUUGGGGAUUUUCAAAUUUAACGUCUUCGUCUAUUGCAUUUGUCUCACUUUCACUCACACUCACGCUCACACCCUCUCACUCUCACACAAACCAGAGCGCUCUCACUCUCUCACCCUCAGUCUUACAUUUUCAUUUCCCACACUCACAAAACUCUCUCAUUUUCUCUCUAUCUCUCACACGGCCUCUGACAUUCACACACGCUCACACACACACAGAACCCCGCCGGCGUCGACGAGCAGAGCCCAGCCCAGCCCAGCGACGACGCCGACGAGGCUGAGCCCAGCCAUCGGCUCCUCUCCUCGUCGAUCUCUCUCUCCCUCACUAGGAGAUCCUUUCUCCUUUUCUCCCUCUCUCUCAUUACCACCCCCAUACCCAUUCCGAUUUUGGUUGAUGACAUUCUUGCUUGGAUAGUGCAUAUUGUUGCUGCCAUCCUUAAGACUUUCCAAAUUUCUGGCUUCAGUAUGGAUGCUGCAAAUGCUGGACGGAUUGACCAUACACGGCCUGGCCCUAUUGACGAUUCGGUGUUAACGUUGCA